CUCAGUUCAAUUCUUUGCUAACAGGAACAAUUUGUAUUUUAUGGAUUCACUUCAUUUUGACCUACAUGGGUAAAUGGACAUGGAGCUGGAAAUCAAACAAGGUUGGUGCUAACUGCUUGAAACUUCACACACUCAAUCAGUUCUCUGUGGGCACUCUCUGGUUUGUUCCUUGUGAAAUUAAUAAUAAGCUGAAGCAUGCAAUACAAAUUUAUCUGAGAACACUUUAGGAGAAAACAGGGAAAUAUGCAUGUACUGAAAUAGCUUCCCCAAUUAUUUUGUCAGAUUUCUUUGAAACUGCCCAUGAUUCAUCUGUAAGCUUGCCCCACUAGACUUCCC
rnacentral:lncRNA from 1 species